rnacentral:tRNA from 1 species
GCUAACGUAGCUCAAUUGGUAGAGCAGCUGACUUGUAAUCAGCAGGUUACCGGUUCAAGUCCGGUCGUUAGCUCCA